rnacentral:rRNA from 11 species
AACUCAAAUGAAUUGACGGGGGCCCGCACAAGCGGUGGAGCAUGUGGUUUAAUUCGAUGAUACGCGAGGAACCUUACCUGGGCUUAAAUGGGAAAUGACAGUUUAGGAAACUAGACCUUCUUCGGACAUUUUUCAAGGUGCUGCAUGGUUGUCGUCAGCUCGUGCUGUGAGGUGUCGGGUUAAGUCCCAUAACGAGCGCAACCCCUAUCUUUAGUUGCCAGCGAGUAAUGUCGGGGACUCUAGAGAAACUGCCGGUGCAAACCGAGAGGAAGGUGGGGAUGACGUCAAAUCAUCAUGCCCCUUAUGUCUUGGGCUUCACGCAUGCUACAAUGGCUGGUACAAAGGGUUGCGAUCCCGUGAGGGUGAGCGAAUCCCGUAAAGCCAGUCUCAGUUCGGAUUGGGGUCUGCAACUCGACCCCAUGAAGUCGGAGUCGCUAGUAAUCGCAGAUCAGCAACGCUGCGGUGAAUACGUUCCCGGGCCUUGUACACACCG